CACUACUUACACCACACAUGAUGUAGCUUAUGCUAUAUGCUAUAGAGGACUGAACACCAUACUUCAUAAUUUUGAUUUUACCCAGCCCUGGCCUGGUCCAUUGCUAGCCCUUAUGAGUUGGCCAAGGUUAGCAUGUGUUGCUCCUCUGUUUGUAUUGAGAAUUCUAUUCCCUUUUCUUAGCCUUAUUAACAUUUUGUUGUCUUCUCAAAAGGCAAGAAAAAAGAGAGGGUGAAAUUAAGGGUAGCAAGAGUGAGGGAAGUGCAUUAAUUGGAAGGUCUAGACACAUCGGCUACACACUUAAUGGGUGGACUAGUGUGAAUUUGAAGCAGGGCUUGUUCAUGGUGGUCCGCACUUGGUGAACAGCCCCAGUAUGUUAUCUGUUUCACACUAGCAUUUGCAUUUGUGCUGCGAAUUCACACUUUCAUCCUCACACAAAGAUCAACAUUCUCCUAGUCAGCUUCACACAUGAUGCAGUGAUUAAUCAUAUGCCAGUCUCUGUGUUGCAGGUGAUCUACUGUGAGCACCUUAUUACAACAGACUAACCAGCAGAAAGGCUAUCACUUUCAUUGGAGCAGAACUGUCCCAUACUAACCUGACCCAUUGCUCAUCACUAGUCCCUUGAUUACUCAUCACUUUCUUGUAUGAACUAACUGAAAAUUGACCAGCCUGCUCGGGAGUCCAAGCUAUGCUGUCAGUGCCUGAUUAUGGCAUGUAGUUCAAGGCACUUCAGUAUCAGAAAAGCUGAUUUAUCUUGUCAUCUUCGAGGUGGCACCUGAAGAUUGGAGUCCAUGCUAAUAUUUGGCUGCAACACUAGAAGAAAUUGUCCACUGUGCCAUCUUGGUCCAACAUGAUCCGGAACAAAUGAGCAUCAUAUAUUAGUUGAAAGAUAUAAAAACAGGGGAAAUUGUUGCUCCAAAAGAGAUAUUAAUAAGUUCUUUGUCAAAGGAGGAAGUAAACGAUGUAAUAGAUGAAAUUACAAGUUUAAGAAGACUUGAUCAUAAAAACGUGAUUACUUUGAAGGAGAUUGGAACUUCUUCAGAUUUUCAUAGAGAAAUUGACAAGGACGAUCAAGGAAAUCCAGGUAGUUACCAAUUUUCAUUGUCAGUGCUAUAUGAAACAACUAUUGGAUGGGCUCUGUUAUUGCCAUGCUAAUCAAGUGCUUCAUCGUGACAUCAAAACUUCAAUGAUAUCUAUUCUACAUGUAUUUGUGCAACACAUCACAUUCUCAUCAAUAAUGAGGGAUGUUUAAAACUUGCAUAUUUUAGCCUUUCAGGCUGGUGCCCCAGUGAUGACAUCAAUGAAUUUAAAUUUGAGGUUACUUCUUUGUAGCAUAGGUAUUGCUAUGCCUCUGGAGUUACCGGACACCCCUAGAUCCGUCAAAGGUAUCACUUUUCUAACAGUGUCGACACCCCUACUUUGGAAUUACUGGACAAAAUGCUAACUCUAGAUCCGUCAAAGGUA